GACGAACGCUGGCGGCGUGCCUAAUACAUGCAAGUCGAACGCUUUUUCUUUCACCGGAGCUUGCUCCACCGAAAGAAAAGGAGUGGCGAACGGGUGAGUAACACGUGGGUAACCUGCCCAUCAGAAGGGGAUAACACUUGGAAACAGGUGCUAAUACCGUAUAACAAUAGAAACCGCAUGGUUUCUAUUUGAAAGGCGCUUUUGCGUCACUGAUGGAUGGACCCGCGGUGCAUUAGCUAGUUGGUGAGGUAACGGCUCACCAAGGCAACGAUGCAUAGCCGACCUGAGAGGGUGAUCGGCCACAUUGGGACUGAGACACGGCCCAAACUCCUACGGGAGGCAGCAGUAGGGAAUCUUCGGCAAUGGACGAAAGUCUGACCGAGCAACGCCGCGUGAGUGAAGAAGGUUUUCGGAUCGUAAAACUCUGUUGUUAGAGAAGAACAAGGAUGAGAGUAAAAUGUUCAUCCCUUGACGGUAUCUAACCAGAAAGCCACGGCUAACUACGUGCCAGCAGCCGCCGUAA
rnacentral:rRNA from 1 species